UGUGAACAUACCUAACGUUGCCUCGGCAGGUCGCACCUACCUUGUAGCACCCUACCCUGUAGGGCCUACCCGGGAGGUGCGGGUAAGCCUGCCGGCGGCCCACCAAACUCUGUUUGAUAUUGAAUUCUGAACCUAUAACUAAAUAAGUUAAAACUUUCAACAACGGAUCUCUUGGUUCUGGCAUCGAUGAAGAACGCAGCGAAAUGCGAUAAGUAAUGUGAAUUGCAGAAUUCAGUGAAUCAUCGAAUCUUUGAACGCAUAUUGCGCCCAUUAGUAUUCUAGUGGGCAGGACCGUUCGAGCGUCAUUUCAACCCUUAAGCCUUCGUUGCUUAGUGUUGGGAGCCUACGGCAACGUAGCUCCUCAAAGUUAGUGGCGGAGUUGGUUCACACUCUAGACGUAGUAAUUUUUUAUCUCGCCUAUUAGUUGGACUAAUCCCCUGCCGUAAAACCCCCAAUUUAUCAAGGUUGACCUCGAAUCGGUUCAGACAAACUCGCUAAAUUGAAGCAUCUUAGUCAGCGAAGGAAAAGAAACCAACAGGGAUUGCCCUAGUAACGGCGAGUGAAGCGGCAACAGCUCAAAUUUGAAAUCUGGCCCUCGGGUCC
rnacentral:rRNA from 1 species